rnacentral:lncRNA from 1 species
CAUUUAGAAACAUGCUUAUGGAGAGCUAUCAGUGGAGAGAUACACUGCAUGAUCCAGCUACAUUAUUACAUUAUCAAAACCUUUCUUCCUCUCAGGGUCUCAGGAGGAUAUCUAAGCAUGAAGGUUCACUGUCCUUUCAUAACAGACGCUGUUCUCCCUACACACUCCUGCAGACCCCUACACCAUCCCUACACACUCCUGCAGACCACACACACACACACACACACACACACACACCACACACACUCCUGCAGACUCCUCCACCAUCCCUACACACUCCUGCAGACACACACACACACACACACACACACACACACACACACACUCCUGCAGACUCCUCCACCAUCUCUACACACUCCUCCUACACCAUCUCUACACACUCCUGCAGACACACACACACACACACACACACACACACACACACACACACACACACACACACACUCCUGCAGACUCCUCCACUAUCUCUACACACCCCUGCAGACACACACACACAACACACACACACACACACACACACACACACACACACACACUCCUGCAGACCCCUAUACCAUCCCUACACACUCCUGCAGACCCCUACACCAUCCCUACACACUCCUGCAGACACACACACACACACACACACACACACACACUCCUGCAGACUCCUCCACUAUCUCUACUGCACACACACACACACACACACACACACACACACACACACACUCCUGCAGACCCCUACACCAUCCCUACACACUCCUGCAGACCCCUACACCAUCCCUACACACUCCUGCAGACACACAACACACACACACACACACACACACACUCCUGCAGACACACACACACACACACACACUCCUGCAGACACACACACACACACACACACACUCCUGCAGACUCCUCCACCAUCCCUACACACUCCUCCUACACCAUCUCUACACAGUCCUGCAGACACACACACACACACACACACACACACACACACACACACACACUCCUGCAGACUCCUCCACCAUCUCUACACACUCCUGCAGACUCCUACACCAUCUCUACACACUCCUGCAGACACACACACACACACACACACACACACACACACACACACACACACACACACACACACCUGCACACUCCUCCACCAUCCCUACACACUCGAGGUUCAGCACAGCACAGGACCAUAUAUCAGUGCUGUCCUACCUCUCUGCUGAAUGAUAAAACACUUUACAAGUCUUUUCUAGUGAGAAUACUUCACAUG